CCCAUUCCCAGAAUAAAAAAGUCCACAGUGCAAUCCUCUAGACUUAUCGAAAGAAACCCAGACGAGGGAAGAACCUCCGACAAUUUGUAGCCUUUUCAGAUGUCCUCAUCGAUCCGCAACCACAACCACAAGUCAGCCAACUCCGAUUCAAGACUACCAAAUAUCCAACCAGCGUUCGUCCUGCCUUCGUUUUCAAUUGUCGUUCAACCCCACGGAUCUAUUUUCUAGCCAGAUGGGUUACAGUCCUCAGCAGGCAUCAUUCAGUGCACCCGAAGUAGCAAAUGAGGUAGAAUCAAGGGAAAAUGCAAAGUGGAAGCAAGUCGAGAGGAUGACAUUCAUUGCAGCUUGUGAAAAACAAUUGUCGAAGGCCAUUGGCAUGGCAGGUGUUUCAUGAAACAUGGCUGGGAGAAUGGGGUUACGUUGUUUAAUUCGUUAUCCGGUUACAAUUGGAGCAAACAACUCCGCAACCAUUGGGAUGCAAUGCGUCGCGACCACAAGCGCCUCUCCGAACUUUUAUCUUGCAACGGGGUCAAAUACGACCCGUCAACAGGCCGGGUUGUAGCGUCUGAGGAGUGGUGGACGAGAAAAAAUAGGAUAAGUCUCUGGCUCUUCGGUAGGCAGCAUAUGUUUCACGUUAGUGUAUACCUACAGCAUUGUGUAAUUGAAAUCUGUUUGCUUUGCUGUAAUUAGUGACUCCUUUCUUCAUUAUCAGUGUAAUCUGCAUAUGCUCGUCUAUUUUCUGUGACUUGAAACUGAAAUAUGCUCCGAUUUACUCCAAAAUUUAUUAUGGUGGUUGGAUAUUCAUUGGGUACUUAAGCCGUCAUCUAAACUGUCCGCUAUCACAAGAUUAACUUUCAUUUAUGUUGUUCGUGUACUGAGUUGUCUACAUUGAAACUGGUUGUCAUAUUAGACACUGGUAUGCUGUAUAACUUGCCAUAAAAUAAAGUUCCAUGCAUGUUCCUAUGAAGUACUAGUUCUUUUACAUCCUAUGGAAGUGUCUUGUGUGCUAACGCUAAUGAGUCGCCUUUGAGAUAGAUGCAGGAUAUGGACAGAUUCUACUUCUGCAAUUCAAAAUUAUGCCCGGCAUAUGUUUCAGACGAUUUUGCUUUUUGUGCGAACCCCGUCAAAUUAUAAUAAGUACUCAAGGGUGGGUCAGAAAUUUAAUUCCUAAAGUAAUUGAAAUAAGAUGAUGAUGAUAGGGGCAGGCUGCUAUAUAUUUACAAAGGCAUUGCUAUCAUUUCCAAAAACUCUGUUGUUGAAAUUGUCACGGUUUACUGAUAUCUUCAUUGUCAUGUAUGAGAACCUUGUAAUUUUUAUUUUCAA